AGAAGAGUCAAAAUAGCAGAAACAGGUAUGUACUGGGUAAUUGGGAUGUGCUGAAUGGUUACCAGGUAUGUAUUGGGUAAUUAGGAUCUGUUGAAUGGUAAACAGGUAAGCACUGGGUAAUUAGGAUCUGUUGAAUGGUAAACAGGUGUGUAUUGGGUAAUUAGAAUCUAUUGAAUGGUAAACAGGUAAGUACUGGGUAUUUGGGGUCUGUUGAAUGGUAAACAGGUAUGUAAUGGGUAAUUAGGAUCUGUUGAACCUAAACAGGUAUGUACUGGGUUAUUAUGAUUUGUUGAAUGGAAAACAGGUAUGUACUUGGUAAUUAGCAUUGUUAAAUGGUAAACAGGUAUGUAAUAAGUAAUUAGGAUCUGCUGUAUGGUAAACAGGAUUGUACUGGGUAAUUAGGAUCUGUUGAAUGGUAAAUGUGUAUGUACUGGGUUAUUAGGAUCUGUUGAAAUGUUAGCAGGUAUGUAGACUGUUCGACGUGACCCAAGGCUCUGCAGUGAAGGCCGUACUUUGACCUAUAAUUGUUAACUUUUUACAAAUUGAGAAUUGUAUCACUGGAAAAUUAGCAUUUGUUGAGUGGUAAACAGGUAUGUACUGGAUAAUU